GGAUGGUGUCGCCCGGGGGCCAGGUGGAUGGUUACAUGUAAAGGAAAGAAUUUUCUCAAACCUUAGACGUUUCUGAAUACCCACCUACCUAGGCAAAUCUUGGAUGCAUUUUUGAACUCUAGUUUUUUUUUAACGUUCUGAUUCCUGGGGCCUCUAACCAAGUACAAAGAUGAAAAGACUGAGAGAAAUAAAGAAGCAAUUAUAAUACAGUAGGAAGUUUGCUGUUUCAAGGAUUGUAUGAGGACACUGAAUCACAGAAGUGGAAUAACUUGAACCUGAGGGGACGGAGCAAGAUGGCCAAAUAGAAACCUUCAAGAGUUGUCCCUCUGCACAAACACAUAAUUCAACAAUUCUCCAAGCCAGCAAGCGCCUUGAGGAGAACAAAAAUCAGAGAUCCCUUUACUCUAACUGUGUCUCUUAAGAAGUCGUGCCAGUGUCUGCUGAAGUUUUCACCUGUCUGCAGCAAAAUGAGAAAAACGUGAACAAUGCGCUACUUAAAAGGCUAAACUGACUCAUCUUAAAGGGCUUUUAAAAAAAAUCUGCGAU